GGCUGGUCCGAUGGUAGUGGGUUAUCAGAACUUAUUAACAUUAUUGUCACUAAAGUUGGUAUACAACCCCCCACUGCUAAAUUUGACUGGCUUAAU
ensembl:Y_RNA Y_RNA Y RNA